AGGUGCUUGCACCUUUCAAGCGAGUGGCGAACGGGUGAGUAACACGUGGAUAACCUGCCUCAAGGCUGGGGAUAACAUUUGGAAACAGAUGCUAAUACCGAAUAAAACUUAGUAUCGCAUGAUAUCAAGUUAAAAGGCGCUACGGCGUCACCUAGAGAUGGAUCCGCGGUGCAUUAGUUAGUUGGUGGGGUAAAGGCUUACCAAGACGAUGAUGCAUAGCCGAGUUGAGAGACUGAUCGGCCACAUUGGGACUGAGACACGGCCCAAACUCCUACGGGAGGCUGCAGUAGGGAAUCUUCCACAAUGGGCGCAAGCCUGAUGGAGCAACGCCGCGUGUGUGAUGAAGGCUUUCGGGUCGUAAAGCACUGUUGUAUGGGAAGAAAUGCUAAAAUAGGGAAUGAUUUUAGUUUGACGGUACCAUACCAGAAAGGGACGGCUAAAUACGUGCCAGCAGCCGCGGUAAUACGUAUGUCCCGAGCGUUAUCCGGAUUUAUUGGGCGUAAAGCGAGCGCAGACGGUUGAUUAAGUCUGAUGUGAAAGCCCGGAGCUCAACUCCGGAAUGGCAUUGGAAACUGGUUAACUUGAGUGUUGUAGAGGUAAGUGGAACUCCAUGGGUAAAGC
rnacentral:rRNA from 1 species